rnacentral:rRNA from 1 species
CCUACGGGAGGCAGCAGUGAGGAAUAUUGGUCAAUGGACGAAAGUCUGAACCAGCCAAGUAGCGUGAAGGAUGACUGCCCUAUGGGUUGUAAACUUCUUUUAUAAAGGAAUAAAACGAGGCACGUGUGCCUUUUUGCAUGUACUUUAUGAAUAAGGAUCGGCUAACUCCGUGCCAGCAGCCGCGGUAAUACGGAGGGUCCGAGCGUUAUCCGGAUUUAUUGGGUUUAAAGGGAGCGUAGAUGGGUUGUUAAGUCAGUUGUGAAAGUUUGCGGCUCAACCGUAAAAUUGCAAUUGAUACUGGCAGUCGUGAGUACAGUUGAGGUAGGCGGAAUUCGUGGUGUAGCGGUGAAAUGCUUAGAUAUCACGAAGAACCCCGAUUGCGAAGGCAGCUUACUAAACUGUGACUGACAUUGAUGCUCGAAAGUGUGGGUAUCAAACAGGAUUAGAUACCCGAGUAGUC